GAGGCAAGCCACCGCAGAACACCCUCCAUCUGACCUGCUUGAGUUCCAGUCCUGACUUCCUUUGGUGAUGAACAGCAGCAUGGAAGUGUAAGCCGAAUAAACCCUUUCCUCCCCAACUUGCUUCUUGGUCAUGAUGUUUGUGCAGGAAUAGAAACCCUAAGACAAAUUGGUACCAGCAGAGUGGGGUAUUCCUGUGACAACCUGACCAUGUUUUCGGGAGGUCUGUGGAAGGACUUUGGAACUUUGGUCUUGAAGAUUAAUUCUUUGUUAAGAGCUCUGUGGGAUGCUGUGUAGGAGCUUGGAAGAUAAUGUUGAGAACAGUGCAGAAGAUGGAGGCCUGGCUUGUGAAAUUUCAGAGGGAAAAUUAAAGACUCUUUUCAGGGCCAUUGCUGUUUUGAUUGUGAAGAUUCUGUAGUUCUGGUUAGCUGGGGCUGAAGAAUCAGCUGUGAUUAACAAGAUACCAGAACUACUAAAGCAAAAACUUUGCAUUACUGGGACUAUUGAUGCUGGUUAGCUGGAGCUAAGAAAUUAGCGGUGAUUAAGAAGAGACCAGCAUCAUUGAGGUGACAUCUUCUGGGAAGUGUUUUCUGAGAGCACAGUGGCUGUGUUCCAGAUAUAGCGAAAGUUGUACCUUGUGCUGUGGCUGGACUUGAUAAUGUGUAGGGGUCACCCAAGUGGUACUGGUUUUGAAGGCAUGAAGGAGUUGAGCAGAGCAGCUGAGGCUUGGCACUGUGAGAGGCCAUGGGAGGCCAUUGGUGAAAGUCCAGCCUCAGUUGCAAUUGAUGGCCCAGGACUGAAGGGGUCAUGGAGUGUUUUGGAGAUGCCAGUACCAUGAGAUGACCACCAAGAGCAACAGCAGCAGUGGAGUACAGGCAUAUGGAGCCUAAAGGAUGACGCGUGUGCUACAAAGGGCAUGGCUGGAGAAGUGACCCAAGCCCUUGGAGGAGCCCAGAAGAUAGUAAGUUGGAUCCCAGACAUUGGACGGUUGGAGAUUGACUUUUGCUUUUGAUUGUGGCUGUGCCCUGAUAUUUUCCCUCUUGAAGGAAGAAACUGUUUUAGUGGAGCCCAAAGUUAAGAGACUUUUAAUUGUAAAAAGACUUUGGAUUUUAAAAGAGAUGGAUAUUUUAAAGAGAUUGAAAAUUUAAGAAUAUGUAAAGACUGUGGGACUUUUAAAGUUAUUUAGAUCUUGGGGAUGAAUAAGAAUGUAAGGGUUGAGGCUUACUAGUGAUGUGUUUGUGUGUCAAAUUGACAAGGGGUCAAUUGUACUGGCUAGUUUUGUGUCAACUUGACACAGCUGGGGUUAUCACAGAGAAAGGAGCUUCAGUUGAGGAAAUGCCUCCAUGAGAUCCAAAUCUAAGGCAUUUUCUCAAUUAGUGAUCAAGGGGGAAAGGCCCCUUGUGGGUGGGACCAUCUCUGGGCUGGUAGUCUUGGUUCUAUAAGAGAGCAGGCUGAGCAAGCCAGGGGAGGCAAGCCAGUAAAGAACAUCCCUCCAUGGCCUCUGCAUCAGCUCCUGCUCCCUGACCUGCUUGAGUUCCAGUCCUGACUUCCUUUGGUGAUGAACAGCAGCAUGGAAGUGUAAGCCGAAUAAACCCUUUCCUCCCC
rnacentral:lncRNA from 1 species